UUAUGCUAGAGAGCUAGCGGGAAGAUUCAAUGCAAAUGUCUAGAUAGAAUCCUUCAGCAUAAUGCAAAUGUUUAGAACUAUAUGAAACGCUAUUGUGCCUAGUGGAGAUUACAUCUAGUUUAGUUAGGGCAUUUAGUCUUUAAUUAAUAUUUGGAUCUCGUCUAUUGAUUUAUUGUUGGAUGUUUAGAUUUUGUUAUUACUCCAUAGAACUACAUGUUGGAUUUGUGAUAUGUUUCCAUUUGUUAGGUAUUUUAUUCAUUGUAAGCUUUUCUUCAAGUAUUUAUAGAAAGAGUCUAACUCUAAGGACACGAGUCCUGAAAUAUAUCUCGAAAUUAAUCUUUAGAGUUCUCAUUUCUUAUUUGUUAGAUGGUUGUUAAGAGUUCUCCUUUCUUAUGCUAACUACUUGUGUUUGUUGGCUUUUGAAAUCACUUCUUUCGGUAGAUUUUGUGAUUUAUUGUGAUAUUUAUUUAGAUUGAUGGAAUUUAGAACUUUGCUGAGUUUUUGUUUUUUAGCUUUUCUUUUCAUUGAUAGGAACUGAGUCCAUGAAUCUGGAGGUAUAAGAAAUGACAUGACGUGUUGGUGACGUAAAUAUAAAGUUCUUUUUUCUUUUUCCUCCUUUUGUUUUCUGAUUGCUGAGGCUGAUAUUUACUCGAGCGGCCGUAGGGAUUUCAUUUCUUCACAGAUAGUUUGCUCCAGUUGCCACAUUCUUGUGAUUAUUCUUAUUUGAUUCAAGUGCUCAGAAGCAGUGUUAAAUAUAAAGCCUCUCAUUCAUAUUCAUUUCCAUAUUGUAAAGUAUAACUCUUUUCAAAAGUAACCUCCGACCUCCGAUUUGGCUUCUGUUCAUAUUCUUACUCUCAUUUGAUACUAACUGUUGUCACAAAUAACACAAUUCUUCUUAUGCUAAUAUUCUUUUCUUCUUCCUCCAAGUCUCUUAUGUUUUCAGGUUUCAAUUAUUGAUAGAAAUUUUGUACAAUUGAGAGAUAUUUGACUGAAUCAAGCUGGUGUAGCAGUGCUGUCUGGUUGCUGAUGUGGUUGUUGAUGUUGCUGUUGCUGCUGGCUGCUCCAACAGUUUGUAAAAAUAGGUCGAGUAUUCGGAAUGGGUAGGGAGGAGAUGGAUUUAUUGCAACAGCAAGGGAUUCACAUAAAAAUUGUUCGUGGUAAGUACAUUUUUGAAUGCUUGCAGUUUUAAGAACAGUUUCUAAGUGUUUUCAAGUGACUCUAAUGAUAUAGAAAUUCCUGUUUGAGAAGUUAUAGUGUGCUUAUUUCUCUUCGGAUCAUAUUGGAUUAGAAUGUAACACCCGUUUAUGAUUCAAGAUGCUUGAGUUUGUGGGUUGCACUAUGGUAGUUUGUGGGUUAUUCAUGCACUAUGGUAGUUUUUGUGACAACUUUUGAGAUUUGAAGUACAUUGUGAGCUAAAUUUUCUUAUUGAUGCAUGUGUUCUUGAAUAUUCAUUUUUUGGGAAUUUUGAUAGUUCUGUUGAGAACAAGUGGUUGUACAAUAUUUUUGGGAGUGUGUUUGUUUGAACAAGUUCAAAGUAAAUUUUUGGUUUUGUUGUGGUAGCAUCGCUAUGUUGCCGAAAAUUUUUCAUCGACUUCGUAUCUCAUAUUAGGUGCAACAAAGGAGUAAAGAUUUGACAUUGCAACCUCUUUAUGUUUUUUCUUGGGGAACUCUAUAUCCAACACAUUCACUAUAAGAAUUUUGCCUUUAAUGUAUCAUUUAUACACAUUCCCAAUAAACAAAGUUAGUUGAAUAUAAAUUCUGAUCACAUUUUCACUUUCAAUCAUUUGUCUUAAAUCUUUAUUGUUUAUGAUCUUUUGAACAACAGUGGUUAGACAAAGAUGCCUAUAACCAGAUAAUGUUGAAGCUGGGAGGUCUAUUCAAGAAGAAUUAUGAGGGAUCUAUACUUACCAAGUGGAGAGGGACAGUAAACUCAUAAUGUUUGUAUUACUUGUAAUUUUUGUUUUCAAAGCCUGAAUUAUUG